GAUGAAGAACGCAGCGAAAUGCGAUAAGUAAUGUGAAUUGCAGAAUUCAGUGAAUCAUCGAAUCUUUGAACGCACAUUGCGCCCGCCAGCAUUCUGGCGGGCAUGCCUGUUCGAGCGUCAUUUCAACCCUCGCGCCCUUGCGGCACGGUGUUGGCCAUCAGCAGCUCCCCCCGGGGAGAUGCUGCGGCCCAAAUAUAGUGGCGGUCUCGCUGCAGCUUCCCUUGCGUAGUAGCACACCUCGCAUUGGAACGCAGCUUGCCCACGCCGUAAAACCCCCAACUCACGAAAUGUUGACCUCGGAUCAGGUAGGAAUACCCGCUGAACUUAAGCAUAUCAAUAAGCGGAGGA
rnacentral:misc_RNA from 1 species